UUUUUCAGGGGGGAGGGGUGGUGGACAGGGUUAUGACUUUAGUUUGGAAUUCAGUUUCAGCAGAGUUCUAGAAGCCAGCAGCAGUAUCAAGAUGCUGACAAAUGCUGGGGUUUCUGCUCCUGGGAAAUAGCUCCUGCUCAGGGAGCAGUGAGUGAACCCCACAGACCCUGCUUCUAGCUAUUUUAAGAGGCCCUUUCAGGACUAUGUGGGUUAGAGCCACUUGGAUCUCAAAGCAGGGCAGGUGUUAACUGUUUGUGAGUCAGUCAGGAACCAGAUAGCUGAACAGCGGAGGCCCUCUGGAUGCUUGUGGCAGAUUACCUUAUCUCAGGGCUCUGCCUAUUGGGGAAGGAGCUGGAGGACCAGCCCUGGUCAGCCUUCUCUCAGUAGCCAUAGCCAAGCUGGCCAGAACAGUAGCCACUGGGGCCUCUGGCUACUCAGAGUGGGCCAGGUCCCAGCUGUAUCCCAUAGGGCUUUGGUUUGAAACUUUGACCUAAAAUGUGGAAAGGGGCCCUAAGUGGAAGGAAUGAUGGCCUCUUCACUCCAAGGAGAGAAGAGAACAUACCAUCUGCUCAAGAUCUCCCUUCCUGGUUAUGGCC
rnacentral:lncRNA from 1 species